GGGUUGAAGUGGCAAAUUUUUCCUGCAGAUUCCAAUUAGUCAAAUUACUUGAAAAUUAAUUUCACCAAUAUAUGACAAAAAUUUUGACAAAUGCUAGCAUAUUAUUCCUGGAGUUCUUGCUAAAAUAAAGACACUGACGACUUCAAGAUUUUAUAGAGACUCUCAGAAUAAUUGGAACUAAGAUUAAAACUUCGUGAGAAA
rnacentral:misc_RNA from 1 species